AUUAUAAAGAUGGUGGGUUUCUAGUAACAAUCCUAG
rnacentral:sRNA from 1 species